UCUCAGGACUGAGGUUUGGGAGCCACCAUUCUUGGCGGCCAGGCCAGGCCAGGGACGUUUACUCCUCCUUAGACUGGACAUGUGGAACAAAAGCCCAGGACUCAGAAAGAUAUGAAGAAACUGAGGCUUAGAGAGGAUAAGAAAAGUCCCAAGGUUACAUAGCACGUGAGGGGCAGAAGUGAAUCCAGAUCAACUGAAGAAAUGCUUAGAGUGGGGAGUUUCCAGGAAAACCAAGUUCUGGGGUCUUCUGCUGGGUCUGCAGAAGACCCAGCAUCCUCUUCACCAUCCAGGCCUCCUAGUUUCCAAGUGUGACCUCUAGUCUCCAGAUGCCUGAGGUUGGAAAACCACGACCCUGAAAAUGUAAGUGAAUUGCUCCAGAUCCCACUGUGUUCAAUGGCAGAGCGAGUGUUGGAACUCAUGAGGACGGCGGUGGCUGUGGAGGUGGUGAUUCCUGAGUAGGAAACAACAUAUCGAUGAAGUACUUAAAGAUGAGGAAGCCAUAGCUCAGAGAAGUUCACAUCCUGCCCAAGGUCACAGAGCUGGU